rnacentral:rRNA from 1 species
GUGCGCAGCCGCGGUAAUACCGGCAGCCCGAGUGAUGGCCGAUAUUAUUGGGCCUAAAGCGUCCGUAGCUGGCCGAACAAGUCCGUCGGGAAAUCCACGUGCUUAACACGUGGGCGACCGGCGGAAACUGUUCGGCUUGGGGCCGGAGGACCCGAGGGGUACGUCCGGGGUAGGAGUGAAAUCCUGUAAUCCUGGACGGACCGCCGGUGGCGAAAGCGCCUCGGGAAGACGGACCCGACAGUGAGGGACGAAAGUUGGGAUCUCGAACCGGAUUAGAAACCCGAGUAGUCC